UGGGGAAUAUUGCACAAUGGGCGCAAGCCUGAUGCAGCCAUGCCGCGUGUGUGAAGAAGGCCUUCGGGUUGUAAAGCACUUUCAGCGGGGAGGGAGGCGUUAAGGUUAAUAACCUUGGCGAUUGACGUUACCCGCAGAAGAAGCACCGGCUAACUCCGUGCCAGCAGCCGCGGUAAUACGGAGGGUGCAAGCGUUAAUCGGAAUUACUGGGCGUAAAGCGCACGCAGGCGGUCUGUCAAGUCGGAUGUGAAAUCCCCGGGCUCAACCUGGGAACUGCAUUCGAAACUGGCAGGCUAGAGUCUUGUAGAGGGGGGUAGAAUUCCAGGUGUAGCGGUGAAAUGCGUAGAGAUCUGGAGGAAUACCGGUGGCGAAGGCGGCCCCCUGGACAAAGACUGACGCUCAGGUGCGAAAGCGUGGGGAGCAAACAGG
rnacentral:rRNA from 1 species